UACAGAGGUCGCAAGCGUUGUUCGGAUUCAUUGGGCGUAAAGGGUGCGUAGGCGGCGCGGUAAGUCGGGUGUGAAAUCUCGGAGCUUAACUCCGAAACUGCAUUCGAUACUGCCGUGCUUGAGGACUGGAGAGGAGACUGGAAUUUACGGUGUAGCGGUGAAAUGCGUAGAUAUCGUAAGGAAGACCAGUGGCGAAGGCGGGUCUCUGGACAGUACCUGACGCUGAGGCACGAAGGUCAGGGGAGCAAACGGG
rnacentral:rRNA from 1 species